ACUUCUGUAGUGUGCAGGAUUUCGCGUAGGCAUUAAUAGCCAAGGGGGUGGGCGCGCCCAAAUCCAAACCUUGGGAAGAAGAAGAGAAAGAAAGAAAGAAAAAAAAAACUUUACAGAAGUUUUUUGUGUGGUUUUCCUUUCCCCUCCCCACUGUCAGGUGGCAGUGGUGUUAGCGGCCCGGUACAGGGAGCUCCGGGGAGCGUGGGCCGGCAAGCUGCCGGCAGCCCUCUCCUAGCCAAGCGGGGCACUGAAAAUAUAUACGGCUGGGGCGCUUCAGAACGACCACCACCUCCAACAUCAUCAUUUCUGUCACCUCCACUCCCCGCAGGGCACCGUGCCCCGGAGCGCCCCGGGGUGUUAGCCGCCAAAGUGCGCUUGGGGCUCAGCUCCUACCCCUCUGGAGCAGAACCCCCAGCAACCCACAGAUUCAGCCCUGCGCCUUCCAUUACCCCUUACAUCUACUCUGCCGCUACCAUCCCUCUCUAGCUCAUGGCGCGGCAGGGGACUUGGCCGAACAGCAAUCCGGCCCAACGGCGGCGUAGGUGUUUGGCCUUGCUCUGCCCACCGGGUUCACUGCUGGCGCCGUCUGGCUCUGAGUUCCACUGCUGACUGCAGAGGCCGUAGUGUGGCAGGGCUGGGCCUGCCCCCCGGGGCCCAGGGAAGAGCGCGCAGCCCACGCCACCCGUUCUCAUGCGUGCUAUUUGUUUCGACAACAGGUAGCAGCUCUGGACACCAUGGCCCCCAGCUCACCGCCGCCUCCAGCCCCUCGGUGUUCCCGGGCCUCCACGAGGAGCCUCCCCAGGCCUCCCCCAGCCGUCCUUUGAAUGGACUCCUGCGUCUGGGGCUCCCUGGAGAUAUGUACGCGCGGCCAGAGCCCUUCCCGCCAGGGCCUGCGGCCCGCAGCGACGCCCUGGCAGCUGCCGCAGCCCUGCACGGCUACGGGGGCAUGAACCUGACGGUGAACCUCGCUGCGCCCCACGGUCCUGGCGCUUUCUUCCGCUACAUGCGCCAGCCCAUCAAACAGGAGCUCAUCUGCAAGUGGCUGGCGGCCGACGGCACCGCGACCCCGAGCCUCUGCUCCAAAACUUUCAGCACCAUGCACGAACUGGUCACGCACGUCACCGUGGAGCACGUCGGCGGCCCGGAACAGGCCAACCACAUUUGCUUCUGGGAGGAGUGUCCGCGCCAGGGAAAGCCCUUCAAAGCCAAAUACAAACUUGUAAAUCACAUCCGCGUGCACACGGGCGAGAAGCCCUUCCCUUGUCCUUUCCCGGGGUGUGGGAAGGUCUUUGCUAGAUCAGAAAAUCUCAAAAUACACAAACGAACUCACACAGGCGAGAAGCCCUUCAGAUGCGAGUUCGAGGGCUGCGAGCGGCGCUUCGCCAACAGCAGCGACCGUAAGAAGCAUUCGCACGUGCACACUAGCGACAAGCCAUACACGUGCAAGGUGCGGGGCUGCGACAAGUGCUACACGCACCCCAGCUCGCUGCGUAAGCACAUGAAGGUGCACGGGCGCUCGCCGCCGCCCAGCUCUGGCUACGAUUCGGCUACACCGUCUGCCCUCGUGUCGCCCUCGUCGGACUGUGGCCACGAGUCCCAGGUGGCCUCCUCGGCGGCGGUGGCGGCGCGUAGCGCCGACUUGAGCGAAUGAUGUCCACCGCGUUGCUCGCAAGGUAAUCUCGCUCCGCGCAGCUGAGCGCCCCGCAUCUCGCGCCUGCUACAUCAAAGGGCCCGCGCACAAAGCAGUGUUUCUUCGCCACGGUGCAUCUUCAUGGUAAGUUAGGAUUUCUAUGGCAAUGUGCAAGUCGCACUGAAAUCCUGAAAGGCCAAGCCUGGAGCCCGUCCAGGCUUUUCAUUAAGGACAUAAUAUUUACGUCUAACAGACCUUUUUUCUUGUGUAUACAAGUAUAUAUUUUUGUUUGACGCGGACUAAAUCAUUUUCAUUUAAUUUCCGGUAAACAAAACCCACGCGAAUGGGCACUUGUACCCGAUCAUAAUAAAAAUGGAUAAUAAUGUGAAGGAAGAAAAGAGCCGCUUGAAUCACCGCUCAGCCCCCUUUGUUUCUGCUUUCUGCGGUGAUCAGAGGGCGCAUUUGGGUUUGAUGGCGAGUUUCUAAAGGCGAGGAAAUGGUUUGUAAGAGGGGAAAGAAAAGGAGAAAGGUCUAAUCAAGCUCGGGUUGUUCAAAGAGUCAGGUUUUGGGGUUGAAAGUGUGAGUUUGACGGUGCAUCAGCAUGCCGCGUUAGGCUCGCCAUGGAAAUACGCGCGGGGAGCGGCCGCUUCAAAGGCGGCACACUUCACUACAGACACUCUAUUAAGAUACAUUUGCGCUGACCUUUGCUUUCAAGCCAUUUAAUACUGUCACUGCGCUCUCCAGUAUAUACUUCCUUUCUAGAACCCGACUUGCCCGCGUUUAGGGGUUCACUCUGCACCCUGAUGUGGGAGGCUUUGGCGCAGGGGACACUUUCAGGAAAGGGAGGAGCACAAGGACUCUGUGCAUCUUGACUGCGCCCCAGAGAGGCUCCAGGAUCAGGAAUGAAUGAUUUUAAAGCAGGCUCCGAAGCUUAACAAAUGAGCAUUCCAAGCUCAGUUUUGUGCAAAUCGCCUUUCUGACUCUUGAGUAGGAUGGAGGCUUAAAUUUAAUGGGGACUUGGGGGGAAGGGAGCCACCCUGGGGGAGUCUGAGGAGUUCAGACUGUGCCCUUGGGAAUUUCCACUCUGGCUUUCCGUGCCACUCUUCUUCCUCUCCAUCCCAUAAGUCUCUUGCGGCCCCUCAAACUUGUUUCUUUCUAAGGCAGGGUGAGUGGUACCCUUAGGCCUGGACUUGUCCUAGAUGCAAACUCAAGAGCCCAAGGCCAAGGGGAUGUGGGGAAGAUGGCAGGAAAGUUAGAAGUCCAUGUUCCCUUAAUUGUCUUGUUGUUUAUUUUAUCCAAGUACCCCAGUGAAUAGGGGAAAAAUAAACACAGUG
rnacentral:sRNA from 1 species